rnacentral:lncRNA from 1 species
UUUUGUUUAUAAUUUUGUAAUUUUUAUAAUUUUUUUUUUUUUUUGUAAUUUCAUUUUCAUUCCUGUUGGAUCCUGCUUAUCUGUCCAUGACAGCAUUGUUUUUAAUUUGGCUGCAAUCAUUUUCUCUAAUUCCAUCCCUCAGAUGGAGCAAUAGUUUAGUUGACCUUCACACAUUCAGUUAGCAGUGCUGGAGGUAACUCCUUAAAUGCUUCAAAAUUUGUUUUGAUAAGCCAAGGAUAAAUUUGAAACUUGCAGGGAUACAGAUGGAGAACAUGUUGAAAGUUUUCAAUAAAGAUUUCAAUAGAUUUAUAAAUAAGAUUUAUAAAUCUAUUUGUUUUGGUGUCAUAAUGAAGUAAUAAACAUAAAAUUCUGUCAGUUUCUUAAAAUAUUUACCCAAUUUCAUUGAAAUAGUUAAUUCUGGGGCACUCUGUAUAUAAACACACACAUACACUCAUACAUUCAAUGGAUAUGAAUUAAAGGAGAUAAAUAUAUGAUGAUUCUUUUUAGGAAAUAUACACAAAUACAAUUGUGACAAGUUUUGGCACAAUGUCACUCAGCUUCAAAAAUUAUUUCCAAAUUACAUUAGCUCUUUCACAAAUGCUUCUGUGUUGAAGAACUCAUUACCAAAUCAAAUAUUGAACAUGGAAAAAUGAAAUAUCAUUCAAUUUUCAAUUAAAACCUGGUGAACUGAAGCCUAACAAUAAUCAAUAACAGUCAAAUUCUAAGUUAAUAUGUGAAAAUAUAUUCCUUCCAAUGAACACAGACAUAUAUGUAUUAAAAUUUACAUGAUUUCAGAUAUAUGCUUACAUUCUGGAUAAAUUAUAAUACAGAUACAUAGUUACAUUUAGACACGUAUCAACAUAUAAUAUAGUAUAGAGAUAUUUUGUGUCCAGAUGCUUAAAAAUUCACACAUACAUAUUGUACAUAUAGGUAUAUACAUAUGAAUGUGUGUGUGUAUUUGUAUAUAUAUAUAUAUGUGUGUAUAUGUGUAUAUAUAUAUAUAUAUAUAUAUAUAUAUAUACAUACAUGUAUAUAUAUACAUAUAAGUAUACAUAUGCAUAUGUGUCUAUAUAUGUAUAUAUAUUAUGUAUUACAUUAAAUUAAAUCAUUCUAGACAAAUGGCUCUAUGUUUUGUUCCAGAAGAGAUUAUCAAACACAAAAUAUUAUGAUCAAUCAAUAGAAUUUAUAGUUAAGAAUGAGUGGAAUUAUUUGAAAGCUAUAAAUUCCAUCAGCUAAACUAAAUACCUCAUUCAUUUGAUAGCUCAGUUUGAGUGAAGCAUGUGGCCAUCUGUAAUGAAUUAUUUUAUAUAUUAUUCUUGUCAUUCAGCCCUGUGUUGAGUCAUUUCAUAAAUAAUCUUUCAUAUAUAUGUAUAUAGUGUACUAUUCCAUGAUGGUAAGAUUAACAAAAUAAGUACUCCAUCUGGUGAGAGAUGAAUGUUAUUUAAUAAAUAAUCACAAUAUGUAUAUAUAUAUAUAUAUAUAUAUAUAUAUAUAUAUAUAUAUACACACAUACUUAUGAGCUCUUAAUAGUUUUAUGCAGUUUUUAACAUGUCUGGUGUCUUCACACAAUUCUCAGGCUGUGCUCAUAUGGCAUGACAAGCUAAAACAGAUUGCUAGGAUGAGAGUAAAAUGAGAAAAGGUAAGAGGGGAGUAGGUAUAAAAAGUAGAAGGUUGAAAAACCGAAAAAUGAAAAUAUUCUUUUUCCAGUUUUUCAACGUUCCUCCUUUUACAUCUACUCUCCUCUCAUCGUUUCUCAGUUUUUUCUCUCAUGCUAUCGUCUUGUUAUAGCUUGUCAUGUCAUGUGGGCACAACCUGAGGAUUGUGUGAAGGCACCAGACAUGUUGGAAAAUGCUGUCUGAGAUGUAUUCAUCGCAUGAAACUAUUAGUAGCUCAUAAAUAUACACAUACACACACACACACACACACACACACAUAUACAUAAACACAUAUAUGUGUGUGUGUAUUAUAUAUAAACAUCAUCAUUCUGCCUGUUUUUCUGUCUGCAUGGGUCAGAUGUGUAUAUAGGUCCUCUCUAGUAAAGCAUCUUUUUGCAUUUCUUUAUCUUCCCCAUAGUGAUAUUGAACUUCAUAUGACCAGCUUAAGAUUAUAUAUGAUUCUUCUCCUAAUUUCCUUAAUCUUCUUCUUACAUACAUUCAUCCCCCUUAGAUCCUUUGGUAUUUCUAUUUCUUUAUCCAACUGUCACAUUCCAUAUGCAUCACAUGUCCCAAGCAGUAUAGUCUUCUCUUUUUCACAUCUCAUUAUUUUCAUACCUAUUUUCCUAUCAUGCUAGUUGUGUUUCAUAUUCAACAUUUACGUUUCACUAUAAUACAUCACACUUCAUACAGAAGUAUUGUUCAGUUUCCUUUUAGAGGUAGGAGAGAGAAACCCAUUGCUACCAUUUGAAAUAAUAGCUAACUGAAAAUUUUCCCCCACAAUUUUCAUCUGGUUACUUCUGCUGCUAAUUAUGUCAGUUAGGCAAUAGAAGCUAGCAACUGAUUCAGGGAAGCCUUCCAAGCAUUUGAAAGAAUUUAUUCCACAGCCGAUCUUAAUGCUAACUACGACUGUGCAUUUGCUACAUACAAAGCCUUCUUUUCCUGAGAUCCUGCAAUGUCUCUUUUGUGUAUAAUUUAUGGUACAGAAUUACUACACUAUACAAAAUUACUACUUACUCCUUUUCUGCAAAUCAGGUAUGGGCUUGGCCACUUCCCAAAUGGCAGAAGAAACAUUUCUUUACUGCUAACUGAAACUUUUGUCCUUGCUAGCUUUAAGACCUCUCAGUUUCUGGAUAUGCCUCCUCUUUUGGAACUUUGUAAAUCUUUGACAGAUUCAUCAAGUAGACAAAAUCAUCAGCAUACAGGAGUUCUCAUAGACAGCCAAACUUAAAUACAUCUGUUAUAGCUUUAAAAACUAUAAAACACAGUAGUGAUGUUGAGAACUGAACCCUGGUGGACACCUACUUAUGUGUUAAAUUCCUCACUAUACUUAUAGCUCUCACCACUUUGCUGAUGACAUUUCUGUAUAUAACUUCAUAGUUCUUAAAAACUGUUUUCAUCUAGACCCAGUUUUCUUAGCUAACACUAAGCUACAGAUCAUGGUAUCUUAUCAAAGCCCUCUCUGAUUCAAAGAAUGCUAUGUAUAGUGGCUUUCUCUUAGCCAAGAAAGUUUUCUGUAGUUGUCUUACUUGGGGGACAGCAUUGGUAGUAACUUGUCUUGGCCCAAACAAAUGAACUACAAGUGAUUUAAGUUUGUUUGAUUUGUGUUUUCUUUUACUCUUAUAAUUGGAUCCAACAGUUUGAUACCUCUGUAGAUUGAUGCUUCUUUUUAAAGCAUCUUAUUCAUCUUUGUUGUGAUUUCUGAUGAAUUAGCAUAGCUACAUAUUGGGUACUACCAGAAUGUAUGUUUCCUACUUUAUCAGGUAUGCCCAGUAUUUCAUUGAUUGUCUCUAAUUGACCAGCUACUUUCUUUUCAUAUUGUUCAUCUUAAUUAAGGCCAUAUAUGUAGCUGUCACUUUCAGUAACUGGUUCCUCAGUUGGUCUUUUUGAGAUAGUUCUAUCUCUCACAAAUCAUCUAUCAGCAACUUUUCAUAUCACAUCCAUCUAUCUUUCUUCUUAGUGUUGGUAAUGGCAAGUGCACUGCUAUCAUUCCACAUACAGUUCUCCUUAAACAUUUUAAUUUAUGCGCUCAUUCAACAUACAGUUUCCCUUAAACAUCUUAAUUUAUGCUGACAAGCUGCUUAGCAAUCUGAAACAUUUCGUAUCUCUGCCCCUUUCAUCACAGAAUAUUCAAGGCGGUGAGCUGGCAGAAAAGUUAGCACAACAGGUGAAAUGCUUAGCAGUAUUUUGUCUGUCUUUACAUUCUGAGUUCAAAUUCUGCCGAGGCUGACUUUGUCUGUCAUCCUUUCUGGGUCGAUAAGUUAUGUACUGGUGUCAAUCUAAUUGACUGGCCCCUCCCCAAAAAUUUUGAGCCUUGUGCCUAAAGUAGAAAAGAAUAUUCAUAACUAUCAAAUUUUCAGCUUCCCUCUCUACUAUAUACAUCUAAUGAUAAUCUUCUUUUCUAGCUAAUUAGUAUUGUUCCUAUCUCUUUGCCUUUAAUGCAGCCUUUUCACAUCUGUUUCUUUACUUUUAUGGCUCUAUCUACUCUAACACUCCACUACCACAUCACCUUUCAUUGAGAUGGAGCAUGGUUCAACUACCAAUCUGAUUUCUGGUUUCCAGUCGGCUACCUGAUAAAAACUCAUAGGUUUCUUUCUUCUUUGCCUUCUUUUCAUAAGCAUCAUCUGUCACUUCUUCAGAUUGACUUUCAUCUUUAAGUUUGUCAAGCCCUUAUCCUGAUGUUAAUGAUCAACAGUCUAUGUUGAGUUACAUUUUCCAUCAGGAAAACCAUUCAGUAUUUAUAAGCAUUGACUCUCACAUUUCCUUAUGUGUAUGAAGUCUACCUGACUGGCAUUCUCUCUUGAUUGGUUGAUGACCAUGAGGUUAAAAGGUUUCUUGAUGUUUGUAUCACAAAAGAUUAUGUCAUUUGCAUCACAGGAAACCAAGAGUUUUAAAUUGUCUUCAUUCUUUGUACUAUAUCCAUAGCUCCUUUUUACAUUUGAGUAUCCAUUGUAAUGUUGUCCAACAUGUCUAUUAAAGUCCCCAACCAUGACAUUAGGGACAUUGUCAUUUGUUAUUGAAAUACUCUGCAAGAGAGUCUCAUAGAAAUGAUCAUAUCUUUCUUAUUCAGUCCUGAUUGGUGAACACAUUCAGAAAUCCUUGUUGCUAUCAUUAGUCUAUCACUAGUAUAAAUUAAUUAGUUUCUUACAUACUCUGACUACCUCAAUUACUUUAUCUAGUUCUCUGCCAGCAAAAUGCCAACUCCAUGCAACCCAACACUUUUUUAUCCACCCAGAAGAAAUUGUACUUUCCUGUGAGAGGUCAAUCUUAUGCUCCCUUCCAUUAUAAUUUCUUGUAUACAGUACGUAUCUUAUUGCCUCCAUUCUAACAUAUCUAUAAUUUCUUCAGACCUACUUUUCAUUGUGCCAGUCACGAAAUUUUGUACAUGAGAACGAGAAAAAAAUUUCCAAGGUGGGUAGAUAAUUUGAUAUCUAUUUAUGCAUUUGAAGGAUGAAAAAUUGCAACGAUUGUUUAACGACAGUCAAGUGAUUCUCUGAUAUUCCUUCCUGACCACCCCACUACCAUGCACAGCAUAAACAUAUUGAGUGUAUAUCUUGUAUAAGCAAUUAAAAUUUUUCCCUUUUAUUUAUCAAUGUCAUGAUUUUGACAUGGUUUCAUAAGCUAGAUGUACUUCCUGUCAGCAAACACUUUGCAGCAUAGACUGGAUGCAUUUAUCAUGCUGCUGUCACAAGAAGAGUGAUAUAUCAGAACUAAAGUGUCCACUGUACACUGUGUCAGCAUUUACUCAGAGUUACUGCUCUCCUGAGAUAAAUUAUCUGUACUGCAGCUUGUAGAGUGCAUAUCUUUCUAAUCCAUAAUUUUGUUUAGAGUUAAUGCUAUCCUAGUCAGGCUGCCUUCAUUAUAACUGAACAGUCAUGAGUCAAGAAACUUUGAUCAUGAUCACACAGUCGAUCAUAUAGAAGCAUGUUUUCUUUCAUAUAUUGUCAGGAUGAUUGAAGUUGUGGUAGCUGGUCAUACUUGCCAAAAUAGGAGGUGGACACAGGAAGAUCGAGGGGUGCUUUUACAUCAUAGGAAGUUGACAUGUUUAUAGGGCAACGCAGAGUCUAAGUUAAAUAGAGAAAUAAACACUGUCUUAGAUAAAUUAAAAUUUAUGUUUCUGUGUUGCUAUCUAUAAUAAUCUGUGAUACCACCAUUUAUCACUGAAAGUUUUGCAGAUACUUAUAAUGCGGAAUAAUCCAACAAAUACACAACUCAGUAUGUUCCUUAGUUGCUUUUGGACUUCUACAUAGAAUAGGAAAAAAGAAAGGGAGUUGUAAUUACAUAUGUUAAGGUGCUGAACAGGUGACUCAAUGACCCUAUAUUCCUUGCUACUGUCAUUAUGUUAUUUCCUUUAAUCAGGCAUUUUGCUUAGUUCACAUAAAUUUCCCUGAAUGAAAAUGAAAACUCACAGAGUCUGCUCCUAAGAAGGGUAUCAAGCAGAAAAGUCUCAUUUUCAGCAAUCCUCAUAUAGCAAAAUUAAAGUAUGAAAUGGAAAGCAACCCAUCGAAACAAAAAAGAAAAGGGAAAAAAAAUUAAGUAUAGAUUACUCUCACACAUAUCAAAAUUUGUACCAAACCCAGUUCUAGAAAAUUCAAAAGUAAGAACAUUAAUAUGAUAGAGAAAUUUUAUUAAUAAAGCAAAUGUGUCUAUGUGUAUAGAUGAGAGUCUCUUUCUAUAUACACUGACAUGUAUCAAUACACCUACAACACAUGCACACAACCUCAUGAUUUAUACAUGCAAGAAAUUGUUUAACAAACAUUCAACAACAUUUGUUAACCAUCAAAUUUUAAUUUUACUUUUCAAUACUUUGUUGACAUCUGAAAUUUAUUGUCUAAAAUAUAUCAAUAAACAAUGUAAUGAACAUUUACUUUGUAGUGUUUGUGACAUGACAUAUAGCUUUUAGAAAAUACGUUUAAAUGUUUCAUUGUUAAAAAAAGAUGUAUUAACAGGAGACAGAAUAUGAAGAGGAAGUGAACAAAGAAACAGGUGAAAAUAAAUUGAUUGCAAUACAGAUGGAAGUCUACCAGCAAGAUUUUAAAUUUUAAUGAGAUAAGUAUGUUAUAGACAAACACUAAAUGACAUCGAAGGAGGAUGUGGAAUCAUAGUAAGUCAUUUUAUAUUGGGCAGAUGGCUUUCUUCUGAAUAUAGUAAUGACGACCAGGGAUGAUUUAGGAAUGUUUUAGUCAAGUAUAUUUAGGCCUCUGAAAGAAGCAAAAGUUACUAAAAAGUGAAUUAUUUUGUGAUUUGAAUGUAAACAACAAAUUCUUUUAAUGUCCAGUGUUACAUAACCAGUCCACUCAAAAGUACCUUGGAUUGUAGGGUGACAUGCCAUGCUUGAGGGAGGAGACCUAUUGAGUCAAGUACAUAAAAAUCAAAUGGAAAUUGUAGUUGUGAUCCCUGUGCCGGUGGCAUGUAAAAAGCAUCAUCCAAAC